rnacentral:rRNA from 1 species
GAUGAACGCUGGCGGCAUGCCUAACACAUGCAAGUCGAUCGGUAAGGCUCUUCGGAGUACACGAGAGGCGGACGGCUGAGUAACGCGUAGGAACACACCCUGCAGUGAGGGAUAGGACACCGAAAGGUGUUCUAAUACCGCAUACGGUCUUCGGAUUAAAGCAUUUAUGCGCUGAAGGAGUGGCCUGCGUCAUAUUAGAUAGUUGGUGAGGUAAUGGCUCACCAAGUCGAUGAUGUGUAGCUGGUCUGAGAGGAUGAUCAGCCAGACUGGAACUGAGACACGGUCCAGACUCCUACGGGAGGCAGCAGUGAGGAAUAUUUCACAAUGAGCGAAAGCUUGAUGGAGCAAUGCCGCGUGCAGGAUGAAGGCCCUCGGGUUGUAAACUGCUUUUAUAAGAGAAGAUUAUGACGGUAACUUAUGAAUAAGGGACGGCUAACUACGU